AUGGCGUGGCGGCUGGCGCUGCCGCUGCUCCUCUUCUACUCACCCAUCCUCGUCUGCUCCUCCUCCCAAGAAGUCCAAGACAAUGACCCCUCCAAACUCUUCAAGAGCGCCUCCGAGAUGAUGAGCCUAAGGAAAUACGACGGGGCGCUCGGUCUGCUCAACGCCGUCCUCGAGCUCGACCCCAACCAUUCUGAAGCUUACAGGCAGCGCGCGACGGUGCUUCGUCACAGAUGCAGACACAAGGAAGCUGAGAGUGACUAUAACAAAUUCCUGGAGCUCAAGCCCGGGACUGCUUCAGUGGAGAAGGAACUGGCUCAGCUGCUGCAGGCCCAAAACGCAUUAGAAUCUGCUUAUACCCAGUCUGAUGCCGGAGAAUUCUCAAAAGUCCUCGAGUACGUCAAUAAAAUCGUGCUCGUAUUUUCUCCAGGUUGCUUAAAGGCAAAGCUCCUCAAGGCUAAAGCAUUGCUAGCACUGAAAGACUAUUCGAACGUUAUUUCGGAGACAGGAUUUAUUCUCAAGGAAGAUGAAGAUAACUUGGAUGCGCUGUUACUUCGUGGCCGAGCAUACUAUUACCUUGCUGAUCAUGAUGUUGCCAACAGGCACUAUCAGAAAGGCCUUCGUCUAGACCCUGAACAUUCAGAAUUGAAGAAAGCAUAUUUUGGGCUGAAAAAACUUCUGAAGAAGACCAAGAGCGCUGAAGAUAAUGCUGCCAAGAGCAAGUUUCGCGUGGCUGUUGAGGACUACAAGGCAGCACUAGCAAUGGAUCCAGACCACACUUUGUACAACGUACAACUUCAUCUUGGGCUAUGUAAGACUCUGGUUAAACUUGGGAGAGGCAAGGAGGCAAUCAACACCUGUACGGAAGCGCUCAGCAUAGAUGAAGAACUUGUUGAAGCUUUGUCACAGAGAGGUGAAGCUAAACUUCUAACAGAAGACUGGGAAGGUGCGGUUGAGGAUCUAAAAGAGGCUGCCCAGAAAUCCCCACAGGACAUGGCAAUCCGAGAGGCGCUCAUGAAAGCGGAAAGGCAGCUCAAGCUGAGCAAAAGGAAAGACUGGUACAAGAUCCUGGGCAUCUCCAAGACAGCAUCGGCCGCGGACAUCAAGCGCGCGUACAAGAGGCUGGCGCUGCAGUGGCACCCGGACAAGAACGUGGAGAACCGCGAGGAGGCGGAGAACAUGUUCCGAGAGAUCGCGUCCGCAUACGAGGUGCUUAGCGACGAGGACAAGCGUGUGAGGUACGACCGGGGGGAGGACCUGGAGGAGAUGGGCAUGGGGGGAGGCGGGGGCGGCUUCGACCCGUUCGGCGGAGGCGGCGGGCAGCAGUACACGUUCCACCACGGCGGUGGGUUCCCCGGCGGGGGCUUCCAGUUCAACUUCGGUUAA
rnacentral:rRNA from 1 species